rnacentral:rRNA from 1 species
AUUGAACGCUGGCGGCAGGCCUAACACAUGCAAGUCGAACGAGUGGCGGACGGGUGAGUAAUGUCUGGGAAACUGCCUGAUGGAGGGGGAUAACUACUGGAAACGGUAGCUAAUACCGCAUACCAUCGGAUGUGCCCAGAUGGGAUUAGCUAGGAGGUGGGGUAAAGGCUCACCUAGGCGACGAUCCCUAGCUGGUCUGAGAGGAUGACCAGCCAUACCUGAAGUGAGACACGGGCCCGACUCCGACGGGAGGCAGCAGGGGGGAAUAGUGCACAAUGGGCGCAAGCCUGAUGCAGCCAUGCCGCGUGUAGGAAGAAGGCAUUCGGGUUGUAAAUUCCUUGCAGCGGGGAGGCGUUACCCGCACAAGAAGCACCGGCGAACUCCGUGUCAGCAGCCGCGGUAAUAC